rnacentral:rRNA from 1 species
UACGUAGGGUGCGAGCGUUAAUCGGAAUUACUGGGCGUAAAGCGUGCGCAGGUGGUUGUGUAAGCCAGAUGUGAAAUCCCCGGGCUCAACCUGGGAAUGGCAUUUGGGACUGCACGGCUAGAGUGUGGCAGAGGGGGGUGGAAUUCCGCGUGUAGCAGUGAAAUGCGUAGAGAUGCGGAGGAACACCGAUGGCGAAGGCGGCCCGCUGGGCUGUGGCUGACGCUGAGGCGCGACAGCGUGGGGAGCAAACAGG